CAGUGGCGGGACAGCCUGGUGUUUGCAGACCUAGAGGGGAAGUCGAGUGUCUGUUUCUGCCAGCCUGGCUGAGGAAGGGGGAUGCUGCUGCCUAGACUCUGCUUUUCUGCAGUGCCAGCUGCUACCCUUGUGUUGAAGGCAAGGGUGACUCUUGGGAAGCCAGAGCCUUGUUUUCCUUGGGCCACUUGCCUCCUCCUCUUCAUGCUUGGGAUUUUAAAUGCCCUCAUAGCAAGACGCGUCUCCCAUUGUGCUCCACUGCACCACACUAACCUCUGCCUGUUCCUACUCGCACGAGGACAACGAUUUAAGAAGGAGUAAAAGAAAGAGGAUUUCCUGAAUAAUUCCCCAAAUCUCAGUGUUUGUGCAAACACCUCCCAGUCUGAUGUGUGCUGAGUGACUGAGGAGCCCGGAGCAGGGAGUGCUAACGCUUCAGUACAGGAUUAACCACUGAAGGAAGAGUACAGUAGUAUCUUACAUAAACUAUGGCUUAAGUUUGCCAGAUCUUUUAUGCAGCGCAUCCCAGAGUGCUCUCCAGCCUCCCCCAGGGAUUCCAGCGGGGUACGCUGUGUUGCACCAUUUCAGCGUCGCUACCAGACGGGCUGACUGGGGCUGCAGCUACCGCGUCACCUUUUCGGCAGAAACCUUGAAGUCUCGGCAACUUCCUGCAAGGAUGCUGAAACAAACACUGUCCAGACCCGCGAGUAAACGAGUUGCUAAUGACACUGCUGAUUGGAAACGGUGCGUGGGCAUGACGUGGGCGAAUGUUCCUGCGCUGGGUGUUUUCUAAAGGUCUCUGAAGCAUGAGGCACGACUGAAUGACUUGUGUUUUCUUUAAACGACGAGUGGGUGAAUCUUGAAUCACUGGGCUGCUUUUAUUUUUGUUAGAUGUGUGUGGGCUGACAACAUGACUCAGUAUUUUCUCUGCAGAACCAAAGAUCACAUUGCCAAUUCUGGGCAUACUUCGGGCAGUUUCACGUAGAGAACUGGAAUGCUUUUUUAGUUCAGAGCUUUGCUUUUUGGCAGCUUCAAGACUGUUGGUGUAAAAAUAAGUAAAUAGUUUAAAAAGCAAGUGUUCUUUCAAAAUGUAGAAAAAUACACUCAGUGUGUGGAAACUACCUUGACUCUGUGUUUUCCCAACAAUCUGAUUAUUUUCACAUUAUUUUGGAAAUGUCCAUUACUGUGAUUUUUUUUCUUUCUGAUUUUCCUUGGCCUUGAUUGCUGCUGGCCCCACUCUUUGUAUGCUGAGUUUAAUCAACAGUGCCCUGCAGGGUGAGAGUCACCAUUCUCUGAUGGGUGUGAGUUCAACCCCCCCUUGCAAAAGACAAAUAGAGCAUAUUUGUGGGUACAUUUAUGUGGCUUAGGCAGUACCUGGAAGUGACACAGAAGUCCCAGAAAAUUUCCCUUUCUUCCUUCUGGCAACCUUCCUGCCCUGCUCUCCCUUCUUAUUCUCCCUAUAUGACACCUGCUGCACAUGGCACCUGCCUCAAAAGAUGCAUGAAGCCAGACAUGGGCUAGAGGUGCUUUUACUGCACAACCAUGAAUGCUGUCUUCUCUUACUUCCUCUUCCCUGCAAAUCAGUAAAGCUCUAGUAAUCAUGUCCUUGCUUUCUAACACACUUAAUUCUAAUCACAUCCCAGCACUCUAAAGCCUAGGCAAACCAUUCUUCACUGCUGAUACCAGCCCUUGGACCACCACAAACCUUGCUGCAUAUCUGAGAAUGGCUAGACAGUACCAGGUUUGUGGAUGAAAGAUGUCGUACAGCAAAGGUUGUCUUUUUGGAGAUGCGAUCCUGUAGAGUGUUGUUGAAAUUAAUUCUCUAACAGUAACUUUAACAACAGAAAAAUUGCCACACUCAAUCCUAAGUAAUGGCUUUGGCUAAUUGUACUUAAAAUCAUGACCCAACCCCCCCAUGAUCCUGAUUAUACUGACAUACAACAGUGAGCCACCUCUGACUGACAGCUAAUUCUGUCAUAUGCACAAGGAUGUAUUGUAGCAUUAGAGGACUGUAUCAUCUUCCUAUCAUUCUAGUUCCUCAAUCCUAAUCUUUACUCCCUCACUGUAAUGUAUUCUCAAGCUUCUACUGUCUAGCCAUGGCAAUAAUUCACUCCAAACUUUAGGUCCAGUGCAUCCACCAUUACUCUAGACCUAAUGGGAAGCUGCUUGAUUUGGUAAGCUAUAGUGCCUUUGUAUCUCUGUCUCAGAAUGAGAAGAACUGGGUACCAGGUGAUGAUCUGUAGUCCCUGAUGUCGUGAUUGCUAAUCCUGACUUCAAUGUCCACAAACCCGAUGCUUCUUAAUGCCAGAACAGUUCUCCUCCACUAGCUUCAGCCCUCAUUACUGUGCUUCAGCUUCUUUGCUGAAAUCUGUCCAUGGGACUAGGGGCAGCCAGGGGGGUUUGCUCAGGGCAUGUUUUGGUGAAGACUAAGGCUGAAAGAUUUUUUUAGGGGGCAUGGCUUGAGGGAUCAUCUGAUUUGUUCCAGCUCCUGAGGUGACGGUAGACUGCAUGCAACCUAAAGCACGAGGCAAGGGGAAGCAUGACAGUGUCUAUGCUGCAGUGAGAGAGCAGGGGAGCAGAGUGUCACAGAGAAUGCACAGUGGGUCAGAAAAGCCUGAGAAUAGCUGAUGUGUUCCAGUGAUUUCACACCUUUCUUGGAAAAAAAACAGCCUCGUUGCUCCUGCCUGGUUACUUCUCAUUGCUCUUCCACUGGUUCUUUGUCACUGGCCCUACCCUUUGUCUUCCUGCCUCUGGAUCUCCAGGGCUCCUUACUCCUCUAGAGCUGGUUCUUCAGCCUUCCACAGCCCUGUGGCGCUGCUGCCUCCUCUGCUUUUGGCAGUAGUAUCUCAUUAAGAGGCCGUGCAUAUAAGACCUACAUUGCUUUUUACAAGGUGCUCUGCAGCCCAUACUUCACACUAACAUGCCUUGUUGGUGGGGAGCUGAGGAUGGAGAGGGCUAUGGCUCUAUGUCUCUUCAAGUGUCAGUGUACUGCUGUGAAUAAUGAGAUUACUUCUGAAGUUUUGUGAGCAUUAGGCCCUAAACUGCCCUAAUUUGUUUGUUUAUAUUUAAGAUUUGUAUUGCAAUUUUGUUUCUAAACUGCAUUUAAUAAGACUGUCAUGUAAAAGCUCUCUUAAGUUUCUGGGAAGAAUCAUUAUUAAACGUAGAUUUGUAAUUCUCA